CUCCGCCCCACCUCACCUCACCUCACCUCACCUCACCUCACCUCACCUCUCUGCCCACUUUUGGAUUAGCCGUAGCGGACGAGGUGAAGCAUUACGAAUAUAGCGACCACCAGACUUGAGCUUCAAAACCUCACUUCAAAAACCACGGGAGACGCAAAGUGGUUGUGGUGACCGGCGGGGUUCUCAGUACUGGACCAGUGAGCGUAUUGCUGCUUGGUGCAUCACAACGAAGAGAAGAAGACUCCAAAAUACACUUUGACAAGCCGCAUAAAGACAGGCUGAAGCUGGACUCAUGGAGGUCCCUCAUGCCUCCGUGCCUGGUGCUGGGGCGUGUCGGAGUGUCCAGAUCCGAAGACCC